rnacentral:tRNA from 1 species
GCGCCCGUAGCUCAGCUGGAUAGAGCAGCUGCCUUCUAAGCAGCUGGCCGCAGGUUCGAGUCCUGCCGGGCGUG